rnacentral:rRNA from 1 species
UAGAGCUCGUAGGCGGUUUGUCGCGUCUGCUGUGAAAGACCGGGGCUCAACUCCGGUUCUGCAGUGGGUACGGGCAGACUAGAGUGCAGUAGGGGAGACUGGAAUUCCUGGUGUAGCGGUGAAAUGCGCAGAUAUCAGGAGGAACACCGAUGGCGAAGGCAGGUCUCUGGGCUGUAACUGACGCUGAGGAGCGAAAGCAUGGGGAGCGAACAGGAUUAGAUACCCUGGUAGUCCAUGCCGUAAACGUUGGGCACUAGGUGUGGGGGACAUUCCACGUUUUCCGCGCCGUAGCUAACGCAUUAAGUGCCCCGCCUGGGGAGUACGGCCGCAAGGCUAAAACUCAAAGGAAUUGACGGGGGCCCGCACAAGCGGCGGAGCAUGCGGAUUAAUUCGAUGCAACGCGAAGAACCUUACCAAGGCUUGACAUGAACCGGUAAUACCUGGAAACAGGUGCCCCGCUUGCGGUCGGUUUACAGGUGGUGCAUGGUUGUCGUCAGCUCGUGUCGUGAGAUGUUGGGUUAAGUCCCGCAACGAGCGCAACCCUCGUUCUAUGUUGCCAGCGCGUUAUGGCGGGGACUCAUAGGAGACUGCCGGGGUCAACUCGGAGGAAGGUGGGGACGACGUCAAAUCAUCAUGCCCCUUAUGUCUUGGGCUUCACGCAUGCUACAAUGGCCGGUACAAAGGGUUGCGAUACUGUGAGGUGGAGCUAAUCCCAAAAAGCCGGUCUCAGUUCGGAUUGGGGUCUGCAACUCGACCCCAUGAAGUCGGAGUCGCUAGUAAUCGCAGAUCAGCAACGCUGCGGUGAAUACGUUCCCGGGCCUUGUACACACCGCCCGUCAAGUCACGAAGUGGUAACACCCGAAGCCGGUGGCCUACCCUUGUGGGGGGAGCCGUCGAAGUGGGACCGGCGAUUGGGACUAAGUCGUACAAAGGUAGCCC